AAGAGAAGUGAUUCACCGUAUGUAAGCAGGAGCAAUCAAGCACUAGAGAGGAAACAAGAGGCACUCAGCAGCGUGAAGGAUCGCCCUGGCUGCCGUUUCAGGAAGCAAAGGUGGGAAACAGGAAGCCCAGGCAGGGACGCUCUUGCAAUAACCCAGCCUUUCUUUUUCAGAAUCCGUGUGUAAUCUCCAGGGAAGAGGCUGGCUCCAUUCAAGUCACAUUGUUCCUGGCCUUGAACCAGUCACCACAGUGGGGAAGUUGAGUCCCAUUACUGACAACCCUCCAAGGUCACAUGAAGAGGGAAAUGGCAGGUCUUUGAAGGAAAGUUUGCUGGACAAAACCCAGUUGUCCAUCAGAAACAGAAUUUAAUAAAACUAAUUGGAACUUAAAUUAGAUUUAAUCCCUUAUGAACUUGGGUCUAUCAGUAUCCAUGGCAUUAAUUUCCUUUUGUUUUAUAGUCUCUCCGUUAUCUGGGAUAUACCUGUUAAAAUGGAAUCAGAAGGACAAACCAGGAGACACCAAUAAGGUGUGCUUAUGUGUUUUAAAAUUACUUUAAGGGCCAGUGAUUAGUGGUUUUCUCUCUAGAACAAAAAGUAUGUUGUUAAAAUACAGCUUCUUAAAUCUUUUCAAAACUGUUUUUAAGAGAAUGCAACAUCACCUUUGUGGUAUUCAUGCCAAAAAUGUUUAACCAAAAUUUAAUCAUGAGAAAAGAAUGAGACAAAUGCAAAAGACUGGCCUGGACUAUCCAAAAAUGUCAAUUUCAUAAAAGACGCUCCCCCUAAAAAAAGGUUAAGGGACCACUCCAGACUAAGGAGACUCAAGAAUCAUGACAACUAUAGUCUAUGAUCUUUGAUCCUAGAUUUAAAACUAUAUAUAA